GUCGUGAGAUGUUGGGUUAAGUCCCGCAACGAGCGCAACCCCUGUUCUUAGUUGCCAGCGCGUAAUGGCGGGGACUCUAGGAAGACUGCCGGUGCCAAACCGGAGGAAGGUGGGGACGACGUCAAGUCAUCAUGGUCCUUACGUCUAGGGCUACACACGUGCUACAAUGGGCGGGACAGCGGGGGCCGAGGCAGCAAUGCUCAGGCAAUCCCAAAACCCGUCCUCAGUUCGGAUUGUCGUCUGCAACUCGACGGCAUGAAGCUGGAAUCGCUAGUAAUCGUGGAUCAGCAUCGCCACGGUGAAUACGUUCCCGGGCCUUGUACACACCGCCCGUCACGCCAUGGAAGUGGCGAGCGCCCGAAGUCCGUGUCGGAACCCGCAAGGGGCCAAGCGGCCGAAGGCGAGCGUCAUGACUGGGGCGAAGUCGUAACAAGGCAGCCGUAGGGGAACCUGCGGCUGGAUCACCUCCUUAACGGAGAGUGGCGAGUAAGUACCGGGCAACCGGAACCGAAAGCUCUCAUCUAGUUAUCGCCCGUCUUUCACAUCCAGAUCUCAACUCUCGAUUUCCAUAUAUGCCGGCCCAUAUGCGCUUUGCCGCGUAUCUGGAUCGGACGAAAAAAAGAGAGCUCGCGAGAGCUCUCUGUAUCAUAUGUAAGCGAGCGGGCGCUAACUCCCGCGCGAUGUUUGACAACGGAUGAUAGAAGUAGAUCGUGGGAUUUGAAGGUGUCGGAAUCCUGAUAAGAAUUCCGAUGCCGCGAAUCAACACUAGUGAUUCAAUUUCGCGGCCCCGACUUAACGGUGGGGGCUGUAUUGGUCUCAGGGCGCGAGCUCUGGGAUCUGAUUGUAUCGCUCGUUAGAUCGCGCGUGUUUCUGUUUGAACAAGUUAUUUGAUCAAGCGAAAGAAAGUAUGUGGGGGAUGCCUAGGUACACAGAGGCGAUGAAGGCCGUGGUAAGCUGCGAUAAGCCAGGGGGAGCGGCACACACGCUAUGAGCCCUGGAUGG
rnacentral:sRNA from 1 species